rnacentral:rRNA from 1 species
AGAGUUUGAUCAUGGCUCAGGAUGAACGCUAGCUACAGGCUUAACACAUGCAAGUCGAGGGGAAACGAUAUUGGAAGCUUGCUUCCGAUAGGCGUCGACCGGCGCACGGGUGAGUAACGCGUAUCCAACCUGCCCACCACUUGGGGAUAACCUUGCGAAAGUAAGACUAAUACCCAAUGAUAUCUCUAGAAGACAUCUGAAAGAGAUUAAAGAUUUAUCGGUGAUGGAUGGGGAUGCGUCUGAUUAGCUUGUUGGCGGGGUAACGGCCCACCAAGGCAACGAUCAGUAGGGGUUCUGAGAGGAAGGUCCCCCACAUUGGAACUGAGACACGGUCCAAACUCCUACGGGAGGCAGCAGUGAGGAAUAUUGGUCAAUGGACAAGAGUCUGAACCAGCCAAGUAGCGUGCAGGAAGACGGCCCUAUGGGUUGUAAACUGCUUUUAUAAGGGAAUAAAGUGAGAGUCGUGACUCUUUUUGCAUGUACCUUAUGAAUAAGGACCGGCUAAUUCCGUGCCAGCAGCCGCGGUAAUACGGAAGGUCCGGGCGUUAUCCGGAUUUAUUGGGUUUAAAGGGAGCGUAGGCCGGAGAUUAAGCGUGUUGUGAAAUGUAGACGCUCAACGUCUGCACUGCAGCGCGAACUGGUUUCCUUGAGUACGCACAAAGUGGGCGGAAUUCGUGGUGUAGCGGUGAAAUGCUUAGAUAUCACGAAGAACUCCGAUUGCGAAGGCAGCUCACUGGAGCGCAACUGACGCUGAAGCUCGAAAGUGCGGGUAUCGAACAGGAUUAGAUACCCUGGUAGUCCGCACGGUAAACGAUGGAUGCCCGCUGUUGGUCUGAAUAGGUCAGCGGCCAAGCGAAAGCAUUAAGCAUCCCACCUGGGGAGUACGCCGGCAACGGUGAAACUCAAAGGAAUUGACGGGGGCCCGCACAAGCGGAGGAACAUGUGGUUUAAUUCGAUGAUACGCGAGGAACCUUACCCGGGCUUGAAUUGCAGAGGAAGGAUUUGGAGACAAUGACGCCCUUCGGGGCCUCUGUGAAGGUGCUGCAUGGUUGUCGUCAGCUCGUGCCGUGAGGUGUCGGCUUAAGUGCCAUAACGAGCGCAACCCCUAUGGUCAGUUACUACGCAAGAGGACUCUGGCCAGACUGCCGUUGACAAAACGGAGGAAGGUGGGGAUGACGUCAAAUCAUUAUGCCCUUUAUGACUUGGGCUACACACGUACUACAAUGGCGUUAAACAAAGAGAAGCAAGACCGCGAGGUGGAGCAAAACUCAGAAACAACGUCCCAGUUCGGACUGCAGGCUGCAACUCGCCUGCACGAAGUCGGAAUUGCUAGUAAUCGCAGAUCAGCAUGCUGCGGUGAAUACGUUCCCGGGCCUUGUACACACCGCCCGUCACACCAUGAGAGCCGGGGGGACCCGAAGUCGGUAGUCUAACCGCAAGGAGGACGCCGCCGAAGGUAAAACUGGUGAUUGGGGUGAAGUCGUAACAAGGUA